UACGUAGGGGGCAAGCGUUAUCCGGAUUUACUGGGUGUAAAGGGAGCGUAGACGGCGGUGCAAGCCAGAUGUGAAAGCCCGGGGCUCAACCCCGGGACUGCAUUUGGAACUGUAUAGCUAGAGUGUCGGAGAGGCAGGCGGAAUUCCUAGUGUAGCGGUGAAAUGCGUAGAUAUUAGGAGGAACACCAGUGGCGAAGGCGGCCUGCUGGACGAUGACUGACGUUGAGGCUCGAAAGCGUGGGGAGCAAACAGG
rnacentral:rRNA from 1 species